rnacentral:tRNA from 1 species
UAUUUUAAUAGCUUAUAAAGAGUUUAAUGUUGAAGACAUUAAGGAAGAUUAUUCUUUAAAAUAU